UGCUAAGUCUUGGGUUUCAGAUCAUCCCCUU
rnacentral:piRNA from 1 species